CGUUCUUUGGCUUAGUUGGCGAAAGCGCCGAUCUAGCCAAUACGGAUUCGUGGGUUUGAAUCCCACCAGAACGC
rnacentral:tRNA from 1 species